rnacentral:rRNA from 1 species
GAUCAUGGCUCAGGAUGAACGCUAGCGACAGGCUAACACAUGCAAGUCGAGGGGCAUCACGGGAGUAGCAAUACAACUGGUGGCGACCGGCGCACGGGUGAGUAACGCGUAUGCAACCUACCUAUCAGAGGGGAAUAACCCGGCGAAAGUCGGACUAAUACCGCAUAAAACAGGGGCACCGCAUGGUGAUAUUUGUUAAAGAAAUUCGCUGAUAGAUGGGCAUGCGUUCCAUUAGGUAGUUGGUGAGGUAACGGCUCACCAAGCCGACGAUGGAUAGGGGAACUGAGAGGUUGGUCCCCCACACUGGUACUGAGACACGGACCAGACUCCUACGGGAGGCAGCAGUGAGGAAUAUUGGUCAAUGGGCGGGAGCCUGAACCAGCCAAGUCGCGUGAAGGAAGAAGGAUCUAUGGUUCGUAAACUUCUUUUGCAGGGGAAUAAAGUGCAGGACGUGUCCUGUUUUGUAUGUACCCUGAGAAUAAGGAUCGGCUAACUCCGUGCCAGCCGCCGC